UAUGUAUUCCCUCCGUCCAAAAAAACUUGUCCGAACCUUGUUUUUCAAAUGGAUGUAUCUAGCACUAACUUGGUGCUAGAUACAUCUAUUUAAAAGAUAAGCUUUUUCGAACAGAGAGAAUACAAU
rfam:Triticum urartu cultivar G1812 contig519172, whole genome shotgun sequence.